UUCCCCUGCAUGUUCUGCUCAUGGAUUUCCUUCCAUAUUCUGAGUUUGUCAUUCCUAUAACUACCUUGGAGCAUUCGAGUGAUUUCUUAUCCUCAGAAACCACACCACUUGGACAUACCUUAGAAGUGCCUUCUGUGUUGCAGAGUCACCUCCUCUUCCCAGCAAGAUGGAAAAGAAGACUUCAGAGAAAUCCAUGCUUCUGAGUACAUGCUGGCCAGGUCAUGGCUCAGCCCACUUUGGCCGGUAAUGCCUGAAGCUGGAGGGCCUUUUGACUGGUUCACCAGAGCUGGCUAUUUUGACGAAGCUGUUUCUGGAGGCUGACGGACAGAGUGCAGAAUUGGAGUUGUUGUGACCUGCAACCUGAGUCUUGCUCAGCUGCCCUGAGCUGUGGAGUAGAGCCCUACCCAAUUAUCAGCUCCCCCUAGACCCAUGCAUUCUCACCUAUAUGCUGCACCUGCAGUGCAAUGAGCUUGCUUUGGACAUUGGGGUUGUUUCUGUCAUUGCUCCUGCUGCUCAUCUCUUGAAUACUCAGUUCCCUCAGUUUGUGCUUUCAGGCUUGUUUAGCUUCCUCCUGGUAAAUCUUGAACAAACAUUUCUUUCCUAUAGAUUUGAGUUUGAAUUUCUGGAAGAAACUCCCAAAGGUUACCUGCCAAGACUUUGUCAUGAGGGGUGCUGAGGCCCCUGGUCUAACCUUUGUUCAAGCCUCCAGUCGUCUGAAGUUGCCUUUGGAUUUACUCAGGCCUAUAUUACCUCUGCUGUCUUUGUGGAGAGAUCUGAGGCCACAGAUCAUGCUGGCAGAGGAGGAGGGGUAUACUACGCAGAUCUUCAGGUCAGCAAUCCAUUGUGCUCGUUUUUCUCUUAUUCAGUGAGGGAUAAGAGGAUACGUGCUGGGCAUGUCACUGGUACAUCAGAAGAGAGACACAAGAUGACACUGCAUAAUAGAAAAGCUUGAAGUAUAAAACCAACACAAAAGUGCACAAAUCAUCUGUAUUCAGCUUGGUCUCAGACUACUUAUUUAAAUACACACUACAGAAAAGAAUUUUUAAAAGUAAUAUUAUUAUUAUGAUAAUGAUGAUGAUGAUGAUAAAAGGGAGAAAUGAAAUUUAUGCUCUGAAAAUAAAAACUUUCAUCGAUCUGA